AGAGUUUGAUCCUGGCUCAGGAUGAACGCUGGCGGCGUGCUUAACACAUGCAAGUCGAACGGUGAAGCCAAGCUUGCUUGGUGGAUCAGUGGCGAACGGGUGAGUAACACGUGAGCAACCUGCCCUGGACUCUGGGAUAAGCGCUGGAAACGGCGUCUAAUACUGGAUAUGAGCUCUCAUCGCAUGGUGGGGGUUGGAAAGAUUUUUCGGUCUGGGAUGGGCUCGCGGCCUAUCAGCUUGUUGGUGAGGUAAUGGCUCACCAAGGCGUCGACGGGUAGCCGGCCUGAGAGGGUGACCGGCCACACUGGGACUGAGACACGGCCCAGACUCCUACGGGAGGCAGCAGUGGGGAAUAUUGCACAAUGGGCGGAAGCCUGAUGCAGCAACGCCGCGUGAGGGAUGACGGCCUUCGGGUUGUAAACCUCUUUUAGCAGGGAAGAAGCGAGAGUGACGGUACCUGCAGAA
rnacentral:rRNA from 1 species